rnacentral:rRNA from 1 species
GACGAACGCUGGCGGCGUGCUUAACACAUGCAAGUCGAACGGAAAGGCCCUGCUUUUGUUGGUUGCUCGAAUGGCAAACGGGUGUGUAACCCGUGAGUAACCUGACCUUGACUUUGGGAUAACUUCAGGAAACUGGGGCUACUACCGGAUAGGAGCUCCUGCUGCUUAGUGGGUGUUGGCGCGUUUCGGCGGUGGGGGAUGGACUCGCGGCUUAUCAGCUUGUUGGUGGGGUAGUGGCUUACCAAGGCUUUGACGGGUAGCCGGCCUGGGAGGGUGACCGGCAACAUUGGGACUGAACUGCGGCCCAGACUACUACGGGAGGCAGCAGUGGAGAAGAGUGCACAAUGGGCGGAAGCCUGAUGCAGCAACGCCGCGUGCGGGAUGACGGCCUUCGGGUUGUAAACCGCUUUCGCCUGUUACGAAGAGAUAGUGACGGUAAUGGGUAAAGAAGCACCGGCUAACUACGUG